CCUACGGGUGGCAGCAGUGGGGAAUAUUGGACAAUGGACGCAAGUCUGAUCCAGCAAUGCCGCGUGAGUGAUGAAGGCCUUCGGGUCGUAAAGCUCUGUCCUAAGGGAAGAAUACUGACGGUACCUGACUAAGAAGCCCCGGCUAACUACGUGCCAGCAGCCGCGGUAAUACGUAGGGGGCAAGCGUUAUCCGGAAUCACUGGGUGUAAAGGGUGCGUAGGCGGUAGGGCAAGUCAGAUGUGAAAGCCCGGGGCUCAACCCCGGGAUUGCAUUUGAAACUGUCUUACUAGAGUGCAGGAGAGGAAAGCGGAAUUCCUAGUGUAGCGGUGAAAUGCGUAGAUAUUAGGAAGAACACCAGUGGCGAAGGCGGCUUUCUGGACUGUAACUGACGCUGAGGCACGAAAGCGUGGGGAGCGAACAGGAUUAGAUACCCUUGUAGUC
rnacentral:rRNA from 1 species